UACGUAGGGGGCAAGCGUUGUCCGGAUUUAUUGGGCGUAAAGAGCGUGUAGGCGGUUUGGUAGGUCCGUUGUGAAAACUCGAGGCUCAACCUCGAGACGCCGAUGGAAACCAUCAGACUAGAGUCCGGAAGAGGAGAGUGGAAUUCCUGGUGUAGCGGUGAAAUGCGCAGAUAUCAGGAAGAACACCCGUGGCUAAGGCGGGUCUCUGGGCAGUAACUGACGCUGGAGGAGCGAAAGCGUGGGGAGCGAACAGG
rnacentral:rRNA from 1 species